UAAGCGGAGGAAAAGAAACUAACAAGGAUUCCCCUAGUAACGGCGAGCGAAGCGGGAAGAGCUCAAAUUUGAAAUCUGGUGGCCUCAGGUCAUCCGAGUUGUAAUCUAUAGAAGUGUUUUCCGUGCUGGCCCAUGUACAAGUCCCUUGGAACAGGGCGUCAUAGAGGGUGAGAAUCCCGUCCUUGACAUGGACUACCAGUGCUCUGUGAUACACUUUCAACGAGUCGAGUUGUUUGGGAAUGCAGCUCAAAAUGGGUGGUAAAUUCCAUCUAAAGCUAAAUAUUGGCGAGAGACCGAUAGCGAACAAGUACCGUGAGGGAAAGAUGAAAAGCACUUUGGAAAGAGAGUUAAACAGUAUGUGAAAUUGUUGAAAGGGAAACGAUUGAAGUCAGUCGUGCUCAAUGGACUCAGCCGUUCUGCGGUGUAUUUCCAUUGGGUGGGGUCAACAUCAGUUUUGAUCGCUGGAUAAAGGCAGGAGGAAUGUAGCACCCCCGGGUGAACUUAUAGCCUCUUGUCACAUACAGUGGUUGGGACUGAGGAACGCAGCAUGCCUUUAUGGCCGGGAUUCGUCCACGUACAUGCUUAGGAUGUUGACAUAAUGGCUUUAAACGACCCGUCUUGAAACACG
rnacentral:rRNA from 1 species